rnacentral:rRNA from 1 species
CUGAUUAGCUAGUUGGUGAGGUAACGGCCCACCAAGGCGACGAUCAGUAGCUGGUCUGAGAGGAUGAUCAGCCACAUUGGGACUGAGACACGGCCCAAACUCCUACGGGAGGCAGCAGUGGGGAAUAUUGGACAAUGGGCGCAAGCCUGAUCCAGCCAUGCCGCGUGAGUGAUGAAGGCCUUAGGGUUGUAAAGCUCUUUUACCUGGGAAGAUUAUGACGGUACCUGGAGAAGCAGCUGCGGCUAACUACGUGCCAGCAGCCGCGGUAAUACGUAGGCAGCGAGCGUUGUUCGGAGUUACUGGGCGUAAAGGGUGUGUAGGCGGUUGUUUAAGUUUGGUGUGAAAUCUCCCGGCUCAACUGGGAGGGUGCGCCGAAUACUGAAUGACUUCGAGUGCGGGAGAGGAAAGUGGAAUUCCUGGUGUAGCGGUGAAAUGCGUAGAUAUCAGGAGGAACACCGGUGGUGUAGACGGCUUUCUGGACCGUAACUGACGCUGAGACACGAAAGCGUGGGUAGCAAACAGGAUUAGAUACCCUGGUAGUCCACGCCC